rnacentral:lncRNA from 1 species
GUGGGGAAUGCGAGGAUUAUAUGAGACACCACUGCUAGAACUGGCUUUGUGAUAAACAAGCAGAGAAAUCAAGAAAACAGGGGCUUGACGGUGCAGUAAAAAAGGCUCAAUUGGAGAAGAGUAAUAAAGGAGGUGAGCCUGACAUGGUGAUGAUGAACACUCCUGCUCCUACAGCGCCCCCAAGUGGACCUGCACCGCAACCACAGCCUAUAGUGCCUUACGUACAAUUUCCCCCUCAGACCUAUGGGAACCCACAACCAUGGGGCCCACCAUCACCCAGAAUGCCACCUAUGCAAUGCUGGGGGUGUGGACAAUUUGGACACAUGAGGAACCAACAUGAGGAACCAAUGUCCACCUAAUCCUCAAUAUCAAGGAUGGGCUACAACACCUGGAGUGAACCGAAGAGGGAGAGGACAUUUCAGGAGGAAACCGAGGAAGACACCAACAAUAAGGUGGACAUCAGCAGCAACCCCAAACCUUGAUCUCUCCACUCUCACACUAGGAAAGCUCAGGAGAGGGUACUAGGUGAGGACCCCGACUACCUGCCUGUGGAGUUUGGAGACUGGGUCAAAAUCCGGAUCCACAAGAGAAAAUGGAACCAGCCAAGAAGGAUGGGGCCAUUUGAGGUAACCAUGGCAACACCAAAGGCGGUCAGAGUUCAGGAAAGAUCCGGCUGGCACCACCUGUCCCACUGCCAGAAGGUGUACCGCCCACAGGAGAUUAUGGAGCCAGACACAGCCUGAAACAAGAGACAGAAGCAGAUCAUCAGUAGAACAUGCCUGACUCUACCCCACCAGUCAUACAAGGAGAAUGUUCUAAUGCCUCCC